GCAAGCGACAGGGUGACAGGUGGUGAGCCGCCAAACCCGUCAUCCCGAAGAGAGAGGAAGAAGGGAAGAGACGGGACACCAGGCAGAGGCUCCCUCCCUCCCUGAGGACAGUGAUGUUGAAGCUGGGAGCCCAGCGAGGAGCCUCCCGGAGACUUGGGGCUCAGGGCUGGGAGCUGGACCAGGGAGGCAGUGGCAGGACCAGGGCAGUGGCGGCAGGUGGAGGGAAGUAGCUGCAAUCAGGAUGCAGCUUGAGAGAAGAAACAGCAGGACUGUCUGGCAGAAGGGGAAACUGAGGCCCUAGGACUGGCCCUGCCUCCUGCCUCCCCUCAGGGCCCACCCCAGGGUCUGGCACAGGGUUCCAACCCAGGGUGAACCCCGAGUUCCCGAUGCCCCCUGCCCUCCUGUCCUGAGCUGUAGCCUCUCAGACAAUCCCUGGGGCCCCGCUCCCCAGCCCUGGCCACACCCCCGGGCUGUCUCCCCACUUGGAACCCCAGUUUCUCCGUCUGUCAAGUGGAGAAUCACAGGGGAACCUAUUCCCCCUGUGUGUUCACUGAGAUUUGCCUGAUCUGUGCUUCCAAGCUUUUCCGACUACAAUCUGCAGGGAGAGCUGCACCGCACGCUGCCUCCCAGUUUACGUGUGUUCCACAGGUAACGUGUGCGUUGUUUAGAUGCGCAUGUGUAUAUAAACUGU